rnacentral:rRNA from 1 species
ACGGAAGGCAGCAGUGAGGAAUAUUGGUCAAUGGACGAGAGUCUGAACCAGCCAAGUAGCGUGCAGGAUGACGGCCCUCCGGGUUGUAAACUGCUUUUAGUUGGGAAUAAAAAAGGCCACGCGUGGCCUCUUGCAUGUACCGUAUGAAUAAGCAUCGGCUAAUUCCGUGCCAGCAGCCGCGGUAAUACGGAAGAUGCGAGCGUUAUCCGGAUUUAUUGGGUUUAAAGGGAGCGUAGGCGGGUCUUUAAGUCAGUGGUCAAAGCGUGUGGCUCAACCAUACCACGCCAUUGAUACUGGAGACCUUGAGUGCACAUAAGGAUGGUGGAAUUCGUCGUGUAGCGGUGAAAUGCUUAGAUAUGACGAAGAACUCCGAUUGCGAAGGCAGCUGUCCGGGGUGUAACUGACGCUAAUGCUCGAAAGUGCGGGUAUCAAACAGGAUUAGAUACCCUGGUA